rnacentral:rRNA from 1 species
GACGAACGCUGGCGGCGUGCCUAAUACAUGCAAGUAGAACGCUGAAGGAAGGAGCUUGCUCUUUCUGGAUGAGUUGCGAACGGGUGAGUAACGCGUAGGUAACCUGCCUGGUAGCGGGGGAUAACUAUUGGAAACGAUAGCUAAUACCGCAUAAAAUUGAUUAUUGCAUGAUAGUCAAUUAAAAGGUGCAACUGCACCACUACCAGAUGGACCUGCGUUGUAUUAGCUAGUUGGUGGGGUAACGGCUCACCAAGGCGACGAUACAUAGCCGACCUGAGAGGGUGAUCGGCCACACUGGGACUGAGACACGGCCCAGACUCCUACGGGAGGCAGCAGUAGGGAAUCUUCGACAAUGGACGGAAGUCUGACCGAGCAACGCCGCGUGAGUGAAGAAGGUUUUCGGAUCGUAAAGCUCUGUUGUAAGAGAAGAACGAGUGUGAGAGUGGAAAGUUCACACUGUGACGGUAUCUUACCAGAAAGGGACGGCUAACUACGUG